rnacentral:rRNA from 1 species
AGCGAACGCUGGCGGCAGGCCUAACACAUGCAAGUCGAACGGGCACCUUCGGGUGUCAGUGGCAGACGGGUGAGUAACACGUGGGAACGUGCCUUUUGGUUCGGAACAACCCAGGGAAACGUUGGGCGUAAUACCGGAUAAGCCCUUACCGGGGAAAGGAUUUAUCGCCAAAAGAAUCGGCCCGCGUCUGAUUAGCUAGUUGGUGAGGUAAUGGCUCACCAAGGCUACGAUCAGUAGCUGGUCUGAGAGGAUGAUCAGCCA